GAUGAACGCUAGCUACAGGCUUAACACAUGCAAGUCGAGGGGCAGCAUCAUCAAAGCUUGCUUUGAUGGAUGGCGACCGGCGCACGGGUGAGUAACACGUAUCCAACCUGCCGACAACACUGGGAUAGCCUUUCGAAAGAAAGAUUAAUACCGGAUGGCAUAGUUUUCCCGCAUGGGAUAAUUAUUAAAGAAUUUCGGUUGUCGAUGGGGAUGCGUUCCAUUAGGCAGUUGGCGGGGUAACGGCCCACCAAACCAACGAUGGAUAGGGGUUCUGAGAGGAAGGUCCCCCACAUUGGAACUGAGACACGGUCCAAACUCCUACGGGAGGCAGCAGUGAGGAAUAUUGGUCAAUGGACGAGAGUCUGAACCAGCCAAGUAGCGUGAAGGAUGACUGCCCUAUGGGUUGUAAACUUCUUUUAUACGGGAAUAAAGUUAGCCACGUGUGGCUUUUUGUAUGUACCGUAUGAAUAAGGAUCGGCUAACUCCGUGCCAGCAGCCGCGGUAAUACGGAGGAUCCGAGCGUUAUCCGGAUUUAUUGGGUUUAAAGGGAGCGUAGGCGGGUUGUUAAGUCAGUUGUGAAAGUUUGCGGCUCAACCGUAAAAUUGCAGUUGAUACUGGCGACCUUGAGUGCAACAGAGGUAGGCGGAAUUCGUGGUGUAGCGGUGAAAUGCUUAGAUAUCACGAAGAACUCCGAUUGCGAAGGCAGCUUACUGGAUUGUAACUGACGCUGAUGCUCGAAAGUGUGGGUAUCAAACAGGAUUAGAUACCCUGGUAGUCCACACAGUAAACGAUGAAUACUCGCUGUUGGCGAUAUACGGUCAGCGGCCAAGCGAAAGCAUUAAGUAUUCCACCUGGGGAGUACGCCGGCAACGGUGAAACUCAAAGGAAUUGACGGGGGCCCGCACAAGCGGAGGAACAUGUGGUUUAAUUCGAUGAUACGCGAGGAACCUUACCCGGGCUUAAAUUGCAACUGACGGAACCGGAAACGGUUCUUUCUUCGGACAGUUGUGAAGGUGCUGCAUGGUUGUCGUCAGCUCGUGCCGUGAGGUGUCGGCUUAAGUGCCAUAACGAGCGCAACCCUUACGGGUAGUUACCAUCAGGUUAUGCUGGGGACUCUACCCGGACUGCCGUCGUAAGAUGUGAGGAAGGUGGGGAUGACGUCAAAUCAGCACGGCCCUUACGUCCGGGGCUACACACGUGUUACAAUGGGGGGUACAGAAGGCAGCUACACGGCGACGUGGUGCUAAUCCCAAAAGCCUCUCUCAGUUCGGAUUGGAGUCUGCAACCCGACUCCAUGAAGCUGGAUUCGCUAGUAAUCGCGCAUCAGCCACGGCGCGGUGAAUACGUUCCCGGGCCU
rnacentral:rRNA from 1 species